UCCAAAGUAAGCAUGUCUUCCAAGUGGCA
rnacentral:piRNA from 1 species